rnacentral:lncRNA from 1 species
AGAUCCUAAUAGAAACAAUAUAAACAUAAGAAUGUAUACUUGAAUCGGAAAAGAAACUAACUGCCUCUUUUAGGAAGAAGAUAAAAUUCGAAUGAAGCAUAUAACCUCAGUUGGUUAGAACCUCAUGCUGAUAACGUAUUAAGAAAUAAGAGCAAAAUGGAAUAAUAUAGUAAUAGACACAAGAUGCAUAGGAGGAGAAC